rnacentral:rRNA from 1 species
GAGUUUGAUCAUGGCUCAGGAUGAACGCUGGCGGCGUGCUUAACACAUGCAAGUCGAGCGAAGCGCCUUAUUUGAUUUUCUUCGGAACUGAAGAUUUGGUGACUGAGUGGCGGACGGGUGAGUAACGCGUGGGUAACCUGCCCUGUACAGGGGGAUAACAAUCAGAAAUGACUGCUAAUACCGCAUAAGACCACAGCACCGCAUGGUGCAGGGGUAAAAACUCCGGUGGUACAGGAUGGACCCGCGUCUGAUUAGCUGGUUGGUGAGGUAACGGCUCACCAAGGCGACGAUCAGUAGCCGGCUUGAGAGAGUGAACGGCCACAUUGGGACUGAGACACGGCCCAAACUCCUACGGGAGGCAGCAGUGGGGAAUAUUGCACUAUGGGGGAAACCCUGAUGCAGCAACGCCGCGUGAGUGAAGAAGUAUUCGGUAUGUAAAGCUCUAUCAGCAGGGAAGAAAGUGACGGUACCUGACUAAGAAGCCCCGGCUAACUACGUGCCAGCAGCCG